rnacentral:rRNA from 1 species
UACGAAGGGGGCUAGCGUUGUUCGGAAUUAUUGGGCGUAAAGGGCGCGUAGGCGGCCGGACAAGUGGAAGGUGAAAUCCCCGAGCUCAACUCGGGAACUGCCCUCCAAACUGUUUGGCUUGAGUCCGGGAGAGGUGAGUGGAAUUCCCAGUGUAGCGGUGAAAUGCGUAGAUAUUGGGAGGAACACCAGUGGCGAAGGCGGCUCACUGGACCGGAACUGACGCUGAGGCGCGAAAGCGUGGGGAGCAAACAGG